rnacentral:misc_RNA from 1 species
AUAUGCAAUAUAACAAUAAAAGGAAAAAACUUUUAAAAAAUAAUUAACAAAAACACUGAUAAGUUAAGUAAUAAUUAGCAAUUUAUCUUCUAAGAUGGUAUGGUAUAUGCAUCUGAUAGCCCCAUGAUAAAUCCAUCAUACAAUAACUUCAAUUUCCUCACAUAUUCAAAGGAUUAUGAACAUCUAAAACUUGAUUACUUAAAAGCAAUAAGCAAAGAACCCAUUUUCAGUCCUCAUAAGUGCGGCACUCAUCUGUCUCCGGGUUGUCCUUGCAGUAAUUCUCCAAAGGGUCAGACUGCUUCUUCUUGUCCCUCGCAUGGCUAGCAGCUGCACUCAGUUCCUCCACUUCGUCCCAAGCCGCCACACAUUCCCCGCUCGCUGGGUCGCCUGCGCAGGCCUCCUCUGCGCUUUUGAUGCUCUCUUCCACCUUCUCCGAUAUGCUAUCUGGGGCUGCUCUCACUGGUUGGAUUUGCAUGCGUCCAGACCCCAAUCGGUAUGCCCUCUUCCAUGGGUGGUUUAACUUGAAGAUGGGUUGAGCCUUUGGUGCGUCUGUGGCCUUGGCUAAGACUCUAGGAGUUGAGAGGUUAAGACUGGUUAGUGUUGCCAUUGUAGUUUGCUAUUUUGCUUCUGUGCUAUCUGCUAUGGUAUGGCCAAGUAAUGGGUGCUCGAGGGAAUAUGACAAUGG